rnacentral:rRNA from 1 species
AGUUUGAUCCUGGCUCAGAACGAACGCUGGCGGCAUGCGUAACACAUGCAAGUCGAAUGAAGGAUUCGGCCUUAGUGGCGCACGGGUGCGUAACGCGUGGGAAUCUGCCCUUGGGUUCGGAAUAACAGCGGGAAACUGAUGCUAAUACCGGACGACGACGAAAGUCCAAAGAUUUAUCGCGUGAGGAUGAGCCCGCGUUGGAUUAGGUAGUUGGUAGGGUAAAGGCCUACCAAGCGGACGAUCCAUACAUGGUAUGAGAGGAUGAUCCGCCACUCUGGGAGUGAGACACGGCCCAGACUCUUACGGGAGGCAGCAGUGCGGAAUGCUGGACAAUGGGCGAAAGCAUGAUCCCGCAAUGCCGCGUGAGUGAUGAAGGCGUUAGGGUAGUAAAGCUGUUUUACCCGGGAUGAUAAUGACAGUACCGGGAGAAUAAGCCCCGGCUAACUCCGUGCCAGCAGCCGCGGUAA